GCAAAGAGAGUGAGUUUCAAUAAAACAUAAAUCAUCAAUUCACAAGUGGACACCCUAAGGAAACGUUCGAAGUGAAGGAAACACAUACGGUCAAGGAAACAUAUGACCCAGAACUAGUUAAGUGCUUAUUCACAUGCGGUGAUUACAGUUUACAUAAAGGACCUUCAUAAAAUGAAACAAUAAAUUGGUCCUGGUUUCUUGCAAGAAAAACAUUACAAAAAAUGUAAAAAA
rnacentral:lncRNA from 1 species